AGCGUAGGCGGUUCCUUAAGUCAGAUGUGAAAUCUUCUGGCUCAAUCAGAAGGCGUCAUUUGAUACUGAGGGGCUUGAGAGCAGCAGAGGGAAAUGGAAUCUCCAGUGUAGCGGUGAAAUGCGUAGAUAUUGGGGAGAACACCAGUGGCGAAGGCGAUUUCCCAGGUUGUUUCUGACGCUGAGGCUCGGAAGCGUGGGGAGCGAAGCGGAUUAGAUACCCGCGUAGUCCACGCCCUAAACGGUGGACACUAGAUAUAGGAGGUAUCGACCCUUUCUGUGUCGAAGCUAACGCUUUAAGUGUCCCGCCUGGGGAGUACGGCCGCAAGGCUGAA
rnacentral:rRNA from 1 species